rnacentral:rRNA from 1 species
UACGUAGGAAGCAAGCGUUGUCCGGAAUCACUGGGCGUAAAGCGCGUGUAGGCGGUAUGGCAAGUCUGCUGUGAAAGCUCUCGGCUUAACCGGGAGAGGUCGGUGGAAACUGCCACACUGGAGGACGGUAGAGGGGGGUGGAAUUCCCGGUGUAGUGGUGAAAUGCGUAGAGAUCGGGAGGAACACCUGUGGCGAAGGCGGCCCCCUGGCCGGCCCUGACGCUGAGACGCGAAAGCGCGGGGAGCGAACGGG